ensembl:lincRNA
GCCAGACUGACUUCUAACCUCCCCUGUUGAAUACAGGAACUCUUGGCACAAUUACAGUGCAAGUAGCACAGAACCUAUGGGGUUACCAUUAUAGAAACAGACUUGGCCAGCAGGAAAUGUUUACAUCCUGCAUGGAACCCUGAUGUUCGACAUGAAACCAGAGCGACUCAUCAUGGUUAGAGAAAACAAAAGCCUCCAUCUUUGAACUUGCCUUGUAGCCCAAACAAACAAAUAUUCUCACUUCCUUAUUGUCAAAUGCCUCACUUCCAGCUACUUUCAUUGAACUUUGGAUGCUCCUGAGAUGCAGGAAAUUAACAAUCCUGCUGAAAUACAAGCCACUUCCACCAGGGAGAACAGUAAACGACACAGCCAAGAGAGAUGGACCCUGGUUGAUCUUUGCAAUUCCUCAAACAUCUCCUAGAAUGAAACUUAAAGCAGACUCAUGAAAAUGCACAUUGCACUGAGGAAAUUGCUUCAGUUUUGUGGAAGAUUGGGAACAGUAUCAUCUAUCCAACUAAUAAUUUUCUGACAAUGAAUUCUACAGAGAGAUCAUCUGUCUGCUGCUCGUUCUACAGAGAGCCCUGCAUAUCAGAGCCAAGAAUGCAAACUUCCACAUGUCUGGUCAUAAAGUUCUGGGAACAUCUCCAUUUUACAUGAAUGUGAUUUAGUUUUUACUGCAUUAGGAUUUUGAAUUCUGAAUCUACUUGUUCAUAAUGCAACCCCAAGCUCAGAGUGAUUAGGAUCAAAAGCAAAGACAGGAUAUGUGUAAUACCAAUUGUUAUUCACUUUGUAAGUGCCUUGUUUCAAGUUCAAGUUCUUCAGUGAUCAUAGUUUAAUAAUGAAGGAACAUAAUAAGCAGGGUAUAUGAUUAGAAUUCUCAAAAUUUUAGCAAGAAGUGCAAACACAUCUAUCUUCCAUUAUCAGCAGAAUAAUAAAUAUGUACGCAUACAUUAGAACAUUUCACAGAAUUUUGCUCUUCUCAAAUUCUAAUAUCUUGAACAAAUACAAUAUUCAUUGAAAAUAAUUAUUUUCAAUUCCCAGAGAUUAGAUUCAGUGGUAAAUGAGCAUAAUUACCAACACAAAAAUGUUCUCUUUCCACGAUUGUACUAAGUGGUAACUUCCAAAUAAAAGUUAAAGAACACUUAAAAGUUCACAUGAUUCAUCUACUUUCUAGAAUGUUCAAGAACAAAAAUGAACUUGUUAAUCAUCAAAUUUAAAGUGGCAAUAGCAGUCAAAAUCAGUUUUGAAUGUUAUAUGCAAAAAUGAUUUUAUUCUCUUUCAGACAGAAUUGGUUUGCUGUCUUGAGGCAUAAUUUAGUAAAUGCCACUUUUUUUAGUCUUAAUCUGUUAAUGUGGUCUCCAAAAAUAUCUAGGAAUAACCAAAGUGCUAAAAAUAAAUAAAUAAGUAAAAACCAAGGUGCUCCAAAGACUUAUUUAAGUAGAUGCCUCAGUAAAAAAAAGAAGGAAGGGAAGAUACGAACUAUCUCAGGGAGGGCAAGAAGAGACGGCAAUUAAUUUAUAUUAAUAAAUAUAAAAUAGCACUGUGAAAAUUGGGGAAGGGGAUGCUUAAUCAAUCAAUAUUUGCCAUUAAAGCCUUUCCAGAAAUUUAAUUUUGAGUGAGGUUUUGGCAGAAGUUAAGACAGAAUUUAAUUUAAAGUUUGUUUAAAUUUCGGACAUUUAGUGUUAAGAAGAAAAAAGAAAAUAUAGUUAUCUAUUGAGUUUGCUUAUAUGAGUGAUCUAUGUUACAAAUAUUUUAACCAUCUUUUUAUUCAGAGCUUUUCUUUGAAUUUUUCCAAACCAAGUAUUUCCAGUCAAAUCUAUAAAUUGUCAACACAUAUAAAUGUCUGAUUUGCAUUUAUAAAAUAUCCAAACCUAGAAACAAUGUGAGACUUUUUUUUGAAGCAAUGUAUUUUUGUUCCUAAUAAGAGUGUUGAAUUGAAUAAAUUAAAAUUCACUUUACC